UACGAAGGGGGCUAGCGUUGUUCGGAAUUACUGGGCGUAAAGCGCACGUAGGCGGAUUGUUAAGUGAGGGGUGAAAUCCCAGGGCUCAACCCUGGAACUGCCUCUCAUACUGGCAAUCUCGAGUUCGAGAGAGGUGAGUGGAAUUGCGAGUGUAGAGGUGAAAUUCGUAGAUAUUCGCAGGAACACCAGUGGCGAAGGCGGCUCACUGGCUCGAUACUGACGCUGAGGUG
rnacentral:rRNA from 1 species